rnacentral:rRNA from 1 species
AACGAACGCUGGCGGCGUGCCUAACACAUGCAAGUCGAACGAGAAAGGGGCUUCGGCUCCGAGUAAAGUGGCGCACGGGUGAGUAACACGUGGGUAACCUGCCUCUAAGAUUGGGAUAACUCGUCGAAAGAUGAGCUAAUACCGAAUAAGACCACAGUUCCCGCGGGAACAGGGGUCAAAGGUAGCCUCUGCUUGCAAGCUAUCACUUAGAGAUGGGCCUGCGCACCAUUAGCUAGUUGGUAGGGUAACGGCCUACCAAGGCAAAGAUGGUUAGCUGGUCUGAGAGGAUGCUCAGCCACACUGGAACUGAGACACGGUCCAGACUCCUACGGGAGGCAGCAGUGGGGAAUAUUGCGCCAUGGGCGAAAGCUUGACGCAGCAACGCCGCGUGAGUGAUGAAGGCCGUCGGGUCGUAAAGCUCUGUCGGGAGGAACGAAUGCUCCUGAGGUUAACAGCCUCGGGAGGUGACGGUACCUUCAAAGGAAGCACCGGCUAACUCUGUG